rnacentral:rRNA from 1 species
UUACACAUGCAAGUCGAGCGGGGGAAGGUAGCUUGCUACCGGACCUAGCGGCGGACGGGUGAGUAAUGCUUAGGAAUCUGCCUAUUAGUGGGGGACAACAUCUCGAAAGGGAUGCUAAUACCGCAUACGUCCUACGGGAGAAAGCAGGGGAUCUUCGGACCUUGCGCUAAUAGAUGAGCCUAAGUCGGAUUAGCUAGUUGGUGGGGUAAAGGCCUACCAAGGCGACGAUCUGUAGCGGGUCUGAGAGGAUGAUCCGCCACACUGGGACUGAGACACGGCCCAGACUCCUACGGGAGGCAGCAGUGGGGAAUAUUGGACAAUGGGGGGAACCCUGAUCCAGCCAUGCCGCGUGUGUGAAGAAGGCCUUAUGGUUGUAAAGCACUUUAAGCGAGGAGGAGGCUACUUUAGUUAAUACCUAGAGAUAGUGGACGUUACUCGCAGAAUAAGCACCGGCUAACUCUGUGCCAGCAGCCGCGGUAAUACAGAGGGUGCGAGCGUUAAUCGGAUUUACUGGGCGUAAAGCGUGCGUAGGCGGCUUAUUAAGUCGGAUGUGAAAUCCCCGAGCUUAACUUGGGAAUUGCAUUCGAUACUGGUGAGCUAGAGUAUGGGAGAGGAUGGUAGAAUUCCAGGUGUAGCGGUGAAAUGCGUAGAGAUCUGGAGGAAUACCGAUGGCGAAGGCAGCCAUCUGGCCUAAUACUGACGCUGAGGUACGAAAGCAUGGGGAGCAAACAGGAUUAGAUACCCUGGUAG